rnacentral:tRNA from 1 species
GGGGAUUUAGCUCAGCGGUAGAGCACUUGCCUAGCAAGCACAAGGCCCUGGGUUCGGUCCCCAGCUUCA